AUAGCAUCUCAAUGCAAAAAAAAGAGGACAUUUUGUUUUUGUUUUUUUCUAAAAGGGGAAUAUAACCCGACUCCGAGCGAUGCACACAUCCAAUUUGAGUUUUAAAAAGAGUUUUACAGCCAACAUGUCACAAAGAGUAGCAACAAAGUAUAACCAGCAAAAAAUAAAACCACUAUCAAACGAAAACUUGAAAGCUUCCAAUACUAACCAUUAGAUAUCCAAUAAACAGAUUAGAGCCUUCAACUUUUAUCUUAUCCGUG
rnacentral:lncRNA from 1 species